UACGGAGGGUGCGAGCGUUGUUCGGAAUCACUGGGCGUAAAGGGCGUGUAGGCGGUCCGCUAAGUCUGAUGUGAAAGCCCGGGGCUCACCCCCGGAAGUGCAUUGGAAACUGGCGGACUCGAGUCCCGGAGAGGAUAGUGGAAUUCCCAGUGUAGUGGUGAAAUACGUAGAGAUUGGGAAGAACACCAGUGGCGAAGGCGGCUAUCUGGACGGUUUCUGACGCUAAGACGCGAAAGCGUGGGGAGCAAACAGG
rnacentral:rRNA from 1 species